rnacentral:lncRNA from 1 species
CAAAAAGUAAGCACUUUCAGAGUCCGACCCUUCAAGGAGCUGCUGCUGCAGAAGAGGAGCCCUGUCCCCGGAAGCUCGCUGUCACGAGGGGCCUCUAACAUCUUCUUGAGAGAAAGGUUGCCUGGCCUGGGUGAGGUCGUAGUUCCCGCGACCCCGUGCUUGCAAGUACUGGCUGCCUCCUACUAUAGUGUAAGCUCCAGGAAGGAUCCCACGGGGGACCUGACAGCUCACGGUCCUGGCCAACAACCGCCCUGGGAGCGCAAUGGAUGGAGCCCGCAGUCGUCCCGGCGCACUGGGCAAGCUCUGCUCCCA